rnacentral:rRNA from 1 species
AGUGAACGCUGGCGGUAGGCCUAACACAUGCAAGUCGAACGGCAGCACAGGAGAGCUUGCUCUCUGGGUGGCGAGUGGCGGACGGGUGAGGAGUACAUCGGAAUCUACUCUGUCGUGGGGGAUAACGUAGGGAAACUUACGCUAAUACCGCAUACGACCUACGGGUGAAAGCAGGGGACCUUCGGGCCUUGCGCGAUUGAAUGAGCCGAUGUCGGAUUAGCUAGUUGGCGGGGUAAAGGCCCACCAAGGCGACGAUCCGUAGCUGGUCUGGGAGGAUGAUCAGCCACACUGGAACGGGGACACGGUCCAGACUCCUACGGGAGGCAGCAGUGGGGAAUAUUGGACAAUGGGCGCAAGCCUGAUCCAGCCAUACCGCGUGGGUGAAGAAGGCCUUCGGGUUGUAAAGCCCUUUUGUUGGGAAAGAAAUCCAGCUGGCUAAUACCCGGUUGGGAUGACGGUACCCAAAGAAUAAGCACCGGCUAACUUCGUGCCAGCCGCCGCAGUAA